rnacentral:rRNA from 1 species
GACGAACGCUGGCGGCGUGCUUAACACAUGCAAGUCGAACGGACAGGCCCUGCUUUUGUUGGUUGCUCGAGUGGCGAACGGGUGAGUAACACGCGUGUAACCUGCCCCUGACUUUGUGAUAACUUCUGGAAACUGGGGCUAAUACCGGAUAGGAUCUCCUGCUGCAUGUUGGUGGUUGGAAAGUUUCGGCGGUUGGGGAUGGACUCGCGGCUUAUCAGCCUGUUGGUGAGGUAGUUGCUUUCCAAGGGUUUGACGGGUAGCCGGCAUGAGAGGGUGACCGGCGACAUUAGGACUGAGAUACGGCCCAGAAGGGAACGGGAGGCAGCAGGGGAGAGUAUGACAGAAUGGGCGGAAGCGAGAGACAAAGACGCCGCGAGCGGGAAAACGGGCUUCGGGGUGAAAACCGAUUUCGAAGGUGACGAAGAGUGAGUGACGGUAAUGGGUAAAGAAGCACCGGCUAACUACGUG